rnacentral:rRNA from 1 species
UACGGGGGGUGCGAGCGUUUGUCCGGAAUCACUGGGCGUAAAGGGCGCGUAGGGUGGCGUGAAUAAGGGUGUGGUGAAAGUCCGGGGCUCAACUCCGGAUCUGCGGUGGGUACCGGGCAGACUAGAGUGAUGUAGGGGAGACUGGAAUUCCUGGGUGUAGCGGUGAAAUGCGGCAGAUAAUCUGGAGGAACACCGGUGGCGA